rnacentral:tRNA from 1 species
GGGGAUUUAGCUCAGUGGCACCGCAUCUGCCUUACAAGCGGAAGGUCCCUAGUUCGAUCCCUGGUACCCCCU